rnacentral:sRNA from 12 species
UUCUGUCCUGGAGAAUGUUAUUUUUCCUUGAGCAAGAAAAAUAAAUUAGGACUACACGUCAAUUAAUUAGCACGUUAUUAAAAUUUAUUUUAAGUCAUAAAAUUCAACUUUGACAAUUAGUAGUUGAAAUAUUACGAAUUUUGAAAAAGUGGUGGUUUACUUUUAAUUAAUUGGCUACACAGG